rnacentral:rRNA from 1 species
AUUAAACGCUGGCGGCAGUCCUAACACAUGCAAGUCGAGCGGAGCGGCGGACGGGUGAGUAAUGCCUAGGAAUCUGCCUGGUAGUGGGGGAUCACGUCCGGAAACGGGCGCUAAUACCGCAUACUAUCAGAUGAGCCUAGGUCGGAUUAGCUAUUGGGUGGGGUAAAGGCCUACCAAGGCGACGAUCCGUAACUGGUCUGAGAGGAUGAUAAGUCACACUGGAACGGAGACACGGUGCAGACGCCUACGGGAGGCAGCAGUGGUGAAUAUUGGACAAUGGGCGAAAGCCUGAUCCAGCCAUGCCGGGUGUGUGAAGAAGGUCUGCGGAUUGUAAAGCACUUUAAGUUGGGAGGCGUUACCAACAGAAUAAGCAACGGCUAAGUUCGAGCCAGCAGGCGCGGUAAGUC